AUCCAACGAGGGUGGGAAUGGGGUGGCGGCGGAGGGCUCGGAUUCGUCGUCGAAUGGGGAUCUUGGGAAGGCACGACGAGCAACUUUGCCUUCUUUCACCACUACAGGAAAGUGGACCGACGACGACGUCGAGGAGUUCGACGCCUUCGAUCCGUUCUGAGGCCCCCAGGUUUUACUCGGCUACUGGUUUAGAUCCAUGGACCUGCUCAAAGCUUUGGCAAAUCAUCAAAACCAUGGUGAAAAACUGAGAUUAACCUAAAGUGUUUACUUGGGUCACCCAGAAAUGUUGUACACACUGUCAACAUAUACCGUCUUUGAUGCACGAAUGGAGGAGUACAUGAUGCACAUCUUGGAUGAUGUAGGGAACGACUAUACCUCUCUGCUCACUAUGCAUGUCCAAGACUUUGUGACUAAAGAACCUUGAACUCCAUGAAACUUAAAAUUCAUGGUUUUUCUUUCCUCGCUGUCAAUCUCGAAAUCUGUGAUCCAGUUCUUCAAACACCUGAGACCCGGUUGAUUCUGUUGGAUAAGGUCAGCGGGUGAGAUCACCAUCACCAUUCUUCAGGUCAGUAAUCCAUUAAAUUUUGCAGAUUUAUAUGCGGAGAGCGUAUAACAAUUCUUCUGGUUUUGUCAUGUGUUCUUAGAUCCCUCAUCAAUGCACAGUCAGACUGCACUUGUCAAGCUGCUUGUAUUGGAGGGCAGUACUCUGAAAAUUUUCCUUGGUAACCUCACAUGGAAUCUAACACACUGUCUUCAUUCUCCAGCUUGGGAGGCUCUGUCCAUGUCCCAGUGGCACUACUACCCUUUCAAUUAAUAUCCUUUUUAUGAUCACAACUGCCUUUUUGCCAUUCUUUGGGUUUUGUGGUCUCCAUGGCCCCAUGCCUGAUGCAUUUGCUGCACUGGUAAACCUGGAAACUUGAGGUCGACUUGCAACAACAAGCUUUUCACUGCCUGCAGGUGGUGGAUGGCUUCAGCUGUUACCAAUAUCUAUUCCAUUGAUUGUGCUACACAUGAACCCCUGUUAUGCUGGAUGGAGUUGGGAGUUCUGAGUUGGAUGUUAAACCUGUUGGUGUUGCACUUCUUCUAUCUGAUCUUUCUUUCUCAGAGAUGGCACCAGACCAUAUCUUUUCAGGUGCCGUAGAAACCUAAGCCAGUGUCAUCGCUAGAUGAUUCUAAUUAAAGGUGCGAUAAGAGAGGAUUGUGCCAUUUUGAAGUAGACACAUGAUGGAUACUGAAGCAAUGUACUUGAUCCAUCCAUGUCAUGAUGUAAAUGAGAGGUAGAUGGUAUCACCUAACAUGCUACUAUUGAAGCAUUUCACUUGUACUUAUGUAACCAAAGAUGGUCGGCAAACUAAGAAAACGGAAGAACCGGAAAACCCUGCUAACUUAUUAUUGUAUCAAAUGUUGUAUUGAGAAUUUCUCAUUCACAAGAUCCUUAUUGUUCCUGUA